rnacentral:rRNA from 1 species
AGAAUCAACGCUGGCGGCGUGCCUAACACAUGCAAGUCGAACGAGAAAGUGGGAGCAAUCCCACGAGUAAAGUGGCGCACGGGUGAGUAACACGUGACUAACCUACCCUUGAGUGGGGGAUAACCUAGGGAAACCUGGGCUAAUACCGCAUAAUACCUACGGGUCAAAGGAGCAAUUCGCUUUAGGAGGGGGUCGCGGCAGAUUAGUUAGUUGGCGGGGUAAUGGCCCACCAAGACAGUGAUCUGUAUCCGGCCUGAGAGGGCGCACGGACACACUGGAACUGAAACACGGUCCAGACUCCUACGGGAGGCAGCAGUGGGGAAUUUUGCGCAAUGGGGGAAACCCUGACGCAGCAACGCCGCGUGGAGGAUGAAGCCCCUUGGGGUGUAAACUCCUUUCGACCAAGACGAUAAUGACGGUACUGGUGGAAGAAGCACCGGCUAACUCUGUGCCAGCAGCCGC